rnacentral:lncRNA from 1 species
GUUUGCUUAGUUUGGGCUUUUUUACAGCUCGGCUUUCUGAUGUCUUCCAUCAUUUUCAUCCCCUACACUUUAUAAUCUGUUGCGAUGCGGCCAGGGUGCUCUGCUUGAACCUCCGCUGCACCUUGUCACAUGUAGGUUCCCUUUAGUUACUUGCGCUUUGAGAUGACGUUACACUUCAGGGACCUCAAGCACACAAGCAUUCUAAGGCUCAAGGAGAGGUCUGGCUACCAAAUGCUAAUUUAAUUCUCAGGUCGACAAUGGUUUAUGCCUGCAGUACUACUGCUGGGCAAAGGACAUAGAAAAUGCGAAAAGGAGAGGGCCAAGAAAAGCAACAGGAGAUGCAGGAGGACAAUAAGGAACGAUGGAAAACUCACAGCAGAUGCCCUCAAGAACUUUUGUAGUGACCACG